ACUUCCCACCUUAAGUGUCUGAGAAGCGCCGUGUCUUUGACGGAGUAUAAAGGAAGCUGAGGGAGGCGGGAAUCAAACAUGGUCUCCUCUUCCCCGCACGUCUGAUUUUCACUGUUGGAACUGAACAGAAAGUAUUCCAGUCGCCUGCUGAGGCCGAGGCAUUCAUAGACAGGUGUGUUGUGUCCACCGCCGUACAGCGAGGGACCCAUCACCGCGCUGAUGUUUCCACAGAUGCUGCGUGAGACCAACCCGCUGUUUUCUGUUUUCCCACCUUGACUUUGAACUGAUUUCUGCCGAAUUUAGCUUACAAAAAUAUGCGUCAUGGACUUGAGGGUGGACGGUGCCGUUCGGAGAGCCCGCCGAUAAGAAUUUUCAAGUGUGUAGAAAAAUCCGGCUAGCUGUUAUCCUCCGAUACCCCGAACAAGUUUUGUGGAUUAAAAAACUACAGUGGACUUCUUGUCGGCAUGAGGGGGAGGACUCCGACCCCAGGACCACCUGAGCCUUUGAGAGGAGAUGCACUUCAAAAUAUUAUUUUAAUGGCAUUUCUCCUUUAUCUGAAAGCCCACAGUGAUGAUUAGUCAUUUGGGAUGGAAAAGGAUUAACAACGGUUAUUGUGAACUAAAGGCGCAUUAUUUACAUCGCACACGCCUGAGUAAGUAAACUGGGAGGACAAUACAUCUCUGUCUUUAAUGGAGCUCAGUUACAUUCACUUAUUGUCUAUUUAGACAUUUGUAUUUUC